UACAGAGGGGGCAAGCGUUGUUCGGAAUUACUGGGCGUAAAGGGCGCGUAGGCGGCCUUCUAAGUCGAACGUGAAAUCCCCGGGCUCAACCCGGGAACUGCGUCCGAUACUGGCAGGCUUGAAUCCGGGAGAGGGAUGCGGAAUUCCAGGUGUAGCGGUGAAAUGCGUAGAUAUCUGGAGGAACACCGGUGGCGAAGGCGGCAUCCUGGACCGGCAUUGACGCUGAGGCGCGAAAGCGAGGGGAGCAAACGGG
rnacentral:rRNA from 1 species